GGAUAGCUUCAUCGGUAGAGCAUGAGACUCUCAAUCACAGGGUCUUGAGUUUGAGCCUCAUGUUAGGCA